UACAGAGGUCUCAAGCGUUGUUCGGAUUCAUUGGGCGUAAAGGGUGCGCAGGCGGCGCGGUAAGUCGGGUGUGAAAUCCCCGGGCUCAACCUGGGAACUGCAUCCGAGACUGCAUUGCUAGAGUAUGGGAGAGGAAAGCGGAAUUUCUGGUGUAGCAGUGAAAUGCGUAGAUAUCAGAAGGAACAUCAGUGGCGAAGGCGGCUUUCUGGACCAAUACUGACGAUCAGGUGCGAAAGCGUGGGGAGCAAACAGG
rnacentral:rRNA from 1 species